GAAAUGCGAUAAGUAAUGUGAAUUGCAGAAUUCAGUGAAUCAUCGAAUCUUUGAACGCACAUUGCGCCCCCUGGUAUUCCGGGGGGCACACCUGUUCGAGCGCCAUUUCAACCCUCGAGCCCCGCUUGGUGAUGGGCCCCGCCCGCGGGCGGGCCCGAAACUCGCAGGCGCCACCUCCCGGCCUCAAGCGUAGCAAAACCCUCGCUUGGGUGCUCGGGCGGCGGCAGCCCCGAACGAACAUUCACAAGGUUGGCCUCGGAUCAGGUGGGGAUACCCGCUGAACUUAA
rnacentral:misc_RNA from 1 species